UCCCUGGUGGUCCAGUGGCUAAGACUCCACAUUCCCAAUGCAGGGGGCCUGGGUUCAAUCCCUGGCCAGGGAA
rnacentral:tRNA from 1 species